rfam:Polynucleobacter necessarius subsp. asymbioticus QLW-P1DMWA-1, complete genome.
CGGGGCGUAGCGCAGCCUGGUAGCGUACAUGCAUGGGGUGCAUGUGGUCGGAGGUUCAAAUCCUCUCGCCCCGA